rnacentral:rRNA from 1 species
GAUCCUGGCUCAGGAUGAACGCUAGCUACAGGCUUAACACAUGCAAGUCGAGGGGCAGCAUGGUCUUAGCUUGCUAAGGCCGAUGGCGACCGGCGCNCGGGUGAGUAACACGUAUCCAACCUGCCGUCUACUCUUGGACAGCCUUCUGAAAGGAAGAUUAAUACAAGAUGGCAUCAUGAGUUCACAUGUUCACAUGAUUAAAGGUAUUCCGGUAGACAAUGGGGA